rnacentral:rRNA from 1 species
UACAGAGGUCUCAAGCGUUUGUUCGGAUUCAUUGGGCGUAAAGGGUGCGUAGGCGGCGCGGUAAGUCGGGUGUGAAAUCUCGGGGCUUAACUCCGAAACUGCAUUCGAUACUGCCGUGCUUGAGGACUGGAGAGGAGACUGGAAUUUACGGUGUAGCGGUGAAAUGCGUAGAUAUCGUAAGGAAGACCAGUGGCGAAGGCGGGUCUCUGGACAGUUCCUGACGCUGAGGCACGAAGGUCAGGGGAGCAAACAGG